rnacentral:ncRNA from 1 species
AGUUAAAUAUGGCAAACCUACCGAAAGAUAGGGACGCAAAGCCAUGGGUCUAAAGAUAGUAAGUAAUCUAAGAUUGCCAGGUUGCUCAA